rnacentral:rRNA from 1 species
UACAGAGACUGCAAGCGUUAUUCGGAUUCACUGGGCGUAAAGGGUGCGCAGGCGGUUGGGUGUGUCAGAUGUGAAAUCCCGAGGCUUAACCUCGGAACUGCGUCUGAAACUACUCGACUAGAGUACUGGAGAGGGAAACGGAAUUCACGGUGUAGCAGUGAAAUGCGCAGAUAUCAGGAGGAACACCGGUGGCGAAGGCGGAUCUCUGGGCCAUUACUGACGCUGAGGAGCGAAAGCGUGGGGAGCGAACAGG